rnacentral:tRNA from 1 species
CACUAAAUGUCUGAAAGCAAGUAGUGGUCUCUUAAACCGUAAAUAAUAGAUUAGCGCCUAUUUUUAGUGA